ACUUGAUAGACCCAUACUACUUGGAUAACCGUGGUAACUCUAGAGCUAAUACAUGCGAAAAACCGCGACUUCGGAAGCGGUGUAUUUAUUAGAUUAAAGACCAAUGCCCUUCGGGGCUGACUGGUGAUUCAUGAUAACUUCACGAAUCGCACGGCCUUGCGCCGGCGAUGGCUCAUUCAAAUUUCUGCCCUAUCAACUUUCGACUUUAGUGUAGUGGACUAAAGUGGUUGCAACGGGUAACGGAGGGUUAGGGCUCGACCCCGGAGAAGGAGCCUGAGAGACGGCUACUACAUCCAAGGAAGGCAGCAGGCGCGCAAAUUACCCAAUCCCGACCCGGGGAGGUAGUGACAAUAAAUACUGAUACAGGGCUCUUUUGGGUCUUGUAAUUGGAAUGAGUACAAUUUAAAUCUCUUAGCGAGGAACAAUUGGAGGGCAAGUCUGGUGCCAGCAGCCGCGGUAAUUCCAGCUCCAAUAGCGUAUAUUAAAGUUGUUGUGGUUAAAAAGCUCGUAGUUGAACCUGGGCCUCGCGCAGACCGGUCCGCCUCACCGCGUGCACUGGUCCUGCCGGGGCUUUCACUAGGGGAUUCGCAUGUCCUUCACUGGGCGUGUGCGGAACCUGGACUUUUACUGUGAAAAAAUUAGAGUGUUCAAAGCAGGCCUAUGCUCGAAUACAUUAGCAUGGAAUAAUAGAAUAGGACGUGUGGUUCUAUUUUGUUGGUUAUGGGACCGCCGUAAUGAUUAAUAGGGACAGUCGGGGGCAUCAGUAUUCAAUAGUCAGAGGUGAAAUUCUUGGAUUUAUUGAAGACUAACUACUGCGAGAGCAUUUGCCAAGGAUGUUUUCAUUAAUCAGGAACGAAAGUUAGGGGAUCGAAGACGAUCAGAUACCGUCGUAGUCUUAACCAUAAACUAUGCCGACUAGGGAUCGGGCGAUGUUAUUUUUUGACUCGCUCGGCACCUUACGAGAAAUCAAAGUCUGUGGGUUCCUGGGGGAGUAUGGUGGCAACGCUGAAACUUAAAGAAAUUGACGGAAGGGCACCACCAGGAGUGGAGCCUGCGGCUUAAUUAGACACAACACGGGGAAACUCACCAGGUCCAGACACAAUGAGGAUUGACAGAUUGAGAGCUCUUUCUUGAUUUUGUGGGUGGUGGUGCAUGGCCGUUCUUAGUUGGUGGAGUGAUUUGUCUGCUUAAUUGCGAUAACGAACGAGACCUUAACCUGCUAAAUAGCCCGCG
rnacentral:rRNA from 1 species